GUCUUUAAGAAAAUUAUUAAUUUAAAGUCAAAUCUGCCCAAUGAAUAAUUUUUAAUGGCUGCAGUUAUUUCUGUACUAAGGUAGCAUAAUAAUUUGUUUUUUAAUUUAAAACUUGUAUGAAAGAUUUAAUGAAAUAUAAACUUUUUUAGUUAAAUUUAUAUUAAAUUUUUUAUUUAAGUAAAAAAACUUAAAUAAAAUUUAAAGACGACAAGACCCUAUAGAAUUUAAUUUAUUUAAAUUUUUUAAAUUUAAAUAAAUUUUAUUGGGGCAAUAAAAAAAUUUAUUAAAUUUUUUUUUAAUUUUACAUUUUAAAUGAAUUAUAAAUCUUAAUUUUUUUAAAUCAAAUAAAUUAAUUACCUUAGGGAUAACAGCAUAAUUUUUUUUUAAAGAUCAUAUUUGUAAAAAAGCUUAU
rnacentral:rRNA from 1 species